rnacentral:lncRNA from 1 species
GCUUAGAUGACAUGGAUGCUGCUUGUAAGUGAUUUCUUCAAUGUUUGCUUCUGAAAAUCUGAGCUCAAGGCAAGAGAAAGAACACAGGAAAGCUGUAUCCUUCUGCCGUAUGAAAUGAAUCAGAGUUGCUUUUUAUCAAAUAUCUCAUCCCAGAAACAUGAUGGAAGCCAGAAGCUAUUUCCAGGCUUCCUAGGACAACAGGGCAACCAUCUUGCUGUUAAAAGAAAUCAUGCCAAAAGGCUAAACCAUUGGAAUAUAGGAAAUAUAACCCAAGUACAAUAUACAGGAUAAUUUCUGAGCCAGUAUUACUAAAACAGGAUAAAAGUUACUGACAUCUUCAGUAGGUUAUAUUCAGUGUCCCUGCUAGUGCUACCAGUCCGAAUCUCUUUCUUAACAAUGCUUUCAGAAAUGCCAAUUUUGAUCAUUGUACAGUUCCCAU